CCUGUCGUAGCUUAGUGGUCAAAGCAUUGAUAAGUAAAGCCAAACGUGUCGGGUUCGAUUCCCGACAACAGCA
rnacentral:tRNA from 1 species